rnacentral:rRNA from 1 species
GAUGAACGCUAGCGGCAGGCUUAAUACAUGCAAGUCGAGGGGCAGCAUGACUGUAGCAAUACAGUUGAUGGCGACCGGCAAACGGGUGCGGAACACGUACAGAACCUUCCUUCGAGCGGGGAAUAGCCCAGAGAAAUUUGGAUUAAUACCCCAUAGUAUAUUGGAGUGGCAUCACUUUGAUAUUAAAGAUUUAUCACUUGAAGAUGGCUGUGCGGCUGAUUAGGUAGUUGGCGGGGUAACGGCCCACCAAGCCUGCGAUCAGUAACUGGUGUGAGAGCACGACCAGUCACACGGGCACUGAGACACGGGCCCGACUCCUACGGGAGGCAGCAGUAAGGAAUAUUGGUCAAUGGACGCAAGUCUGAACCAGCCAUGCCGCGUGGAGGAUGAAGGUCCUCUGGAUUGUAAACUUCUUUUAUAUGGGACGAAAAAGGGUCUUUCUAGAUCAACUGACGGUACCAUAUGAAUAAGCACCGGCUAACUCCGUGCCAGCAGCCGCGGUAA